CCUUAGAUACUAUUAAAGGUGCAACCUGCCCUAUGGUCUUACUAUCUCAUAUAAUCAAGAGUGGAACGAAGACUAAAUGGCCGCGGUAACUCUGACCGUGAUAAUGUAGCGAAAUCAAUUGUCGUUUAAUUGACGACCAGUAUGAAUGGUUAAACGAAUUUUCCCCUGUCUCAGCGAUAAAUUCAAUGAAUUUAAAAUAAUAGUGAAGAUGCUAUUUAACAAUUGUAAGACGAGAAGACCCUAUAGAGCUUAACUAUAAUCUUUAAUUCUAUAACGAUAGUUUAUUUGUUAUAUUUAAAGACUGGUAGUUUGGUUGGGGCGACCAUCUUCUAUAAGUAACGAAGAUAAACAAUGAUACGUAAAAAUGAAUUAUUUAACUGUGUAACCUAUAAGUUUAACAGAUAUUAAAAUAGGUAAAUUGACCCGUUUAUUUUGAAUAAGGAAAAUAACGAUCAAUAAAUAAAAGCUACCUUAGGGAUAACAGCGUAAUCUUAUUUAAGAGUUCUUAUCGACAAUAAGGUUUGCGACCUCGAUGUUGAAUUGCGAUAACCUGAGGGUGCAGCAGCUCUCAAAGGUUGGUCUGUUCGACCAUUAAAAUCUUACAUGAUUUGAGUUCAUUC
rnacentral:rRNA from 1 species